rnacentral:lncRNA from 1 species
AUAAAGGCAACGUUUUAAAGUUUUACAGUAGUACUUCUGUCGUUAUAAGUAGGAAUAAUUUCAUACAGUUCUCUAUAGACAUAUCGAAUAAUAGAUAUAUUCCAACAAAGUUUAAGUUUUCAGAUUCAAUAAUAUUUAUAUUUGUCUCCCUGUUUUGUUACUGUUAGCUCAUUAUUUAUUUUUUUAAUUAGCAGAAGAUAAAUAAAAUAUCAAUUUUGUCAUUAUAAAUAUAUCUCUCGAAAAAUACUAACUUUUAGAAUCAUACAGAAAAUAUCUUCUAAAAAAUCCCCAAUUGCCAUUUUCUUCCUCCAUAAAAACUAACUCAAUCUAUUAUUGUUACAACAUCUUCAUUAUCUCUUCUCUCCCUCAUUUUCUCCUUUACCUAUCUAUUACUGAUUCUCUGGCGCUCGACAUGGGGAAACAAUACGAGUCGUGGAUGAAUGGGGACCAGGAAACCCUAGUUAUAGGUUCGAAAAUAGCAAGAAUGAGAGAGAGGAAGAGGAAGAUGAAGAGGAAGAAGAGUUUCCAUUGUUAGGUUUUGCUAGAACUAGGGUUUUGAUUGAGAUAAAAAAAAGUAUAAUACCAGAGAGAUAAAAAAGUCAAUUUACCUCACUAACCAAGAUUAAGUAUUUUAUCUAUCAUUAACUAUAUUUCUAAUAAACACUAACAACAAGGGUAUAUUUAAAACCAUUAUGACUUUUGAGCGAUAAAUAUGAAAACUUAAACUUUGUAAGAGCUUAUCUGCUAUAUGAUAUGUUUAUAGGGAGCUGUAUAAAAUUAUCACUCAUAAGUAUUCUUAGAG